AUCCUAGUGUGUAUUUCACACUGGGCCGUUAUUAGUUUAUUUAAUAAAAAAAGUCAGGCGUUUUGAUUAGGUACCAACUUAUAACUCACUGAGGUAUCUACGAGUCUACAUAUAAACUUUAUUGUACUGGGCCCCAAGAGACGGGCAAUGGGAUCCAAUAAACAAUUAGGACUAUGAGCUUUUUUCCAAACCUGCUAUUGGGCUCACAGUUGCAGCAGUGUCUCUGCCCACUUGGUCCAGAGCAAUAAGUUUCCGGAUGGGUUGCAAGCAGCAUCCACCAAUUUGAUUGAUGGCCUGAUGAAACCACUAGUACAGCAGGAAAGGCAACAGCUUCUCCAUAAUGGACGAUGCAACAGAUUAGAAUAAUGACUGUGUAUACAACCUGCUCUUCCUCCCAAAUGGAACUCCUGUGUAAAUACUCGCUGAUGCAGAAAGGGGUAAAUUGAGUGACCUGAUUCUCUGGAAGAUUCACUGGGGAUUUAAAGGGCUAUACACGCUCAGUCAUUCAGCAAAGUAGCAGCCUUGGCCUCUCUCCAUCGAUCAGCAAUUGAAGACAAAAACUUAGAGGGCUGUGGUCAGAAGCUGGCGGUGAAGGAAUUUUCUAUUAAGUGGAGUGCAAUGCUGUCAGACCACUGUGUGGAUUUGCUAUAGAUUUGGUACCUUUCUUUUGAGUUAGAACACCCAUAUAUUUGAUACCAAAUUAAUGGGUAGUUUUUGACUUUGUGAGAUAAUGUAAAACAGGAAAUAGCAAAUCAACAGCUGACUUUACAUCUCUCCUGAUUUUUACUUCCAUUAAAGUUAGUGCAAAUAAAAUAAAAUGGGACAUAAAAUAGGCUGACAAGUCACAUGUUAGAAGAUCCUUAUUUUGA